ACGGGAGGCAGCAGUGGGGGAUAUUGCACAAUGGAGGAAACUCUGAUGCAGCAACGCCGCGUGAGGGAAGAAGGUCUUCGGAUUGUAAACCUAAGUUAUCAGGGACGAAAGAAAUGACGGUAGCUAAAGAGGAAGCCACGGCUAACUACGUGCCAGCAGCCGCGGUAAUACGUAGGUGGCAAGCGUUGUCCGGAUUUACUGGGUGUAAAGGGUGCGCAGGCGGGACUGCAAGUUGGAUGUGAAAUACCGGAGCUUAACUCCGGGGCUGCAUCCAAAACUGUGGUUCUUGAGUGGAGUAGAGGUAAGCGGAAUUCCGAGUGUAGCGGUGAAAUGCGUAGAUAUUCGGAGGAACACCAGUGGCGAAGGCGGCUUACUGGGCUCUAACUGACGCUGAGGCACGAAAGUGUGGGUAGCAAACAGGAUUAGAUACCCUGGUA
rnacentral:rRNA from 1 species